rnacentral:rRNA from 1 species
UACGUAGGGGGCAAGCGUUGUCCGGAAUCAUUGGGCGUAAAGCGCGUGUAGGCGGCUCGGUAAGUCCGCUCUGAAAGUCGGGGGCUCAACCCUCGGAUGCGGGUGGAUACUGCCGGGCUAGAGUGCGGAAGAGGCGAGUGGAAUUCCUGGUGUAGCGGUGAAAUGCGCAGAUAUCAGGAGGAACACCGGUGGCGAAGGCGGGUCUCUGGGCCGACACUGACGCUGAGGAGCGAAAGCGUGGGGAGCGAACAGG